AAAUUGAAGAGUUUGAUCAUGGCUCAGAUUGAACGCUGGCGGCAGGCCUAACACAUGCAAGUCGAACGGUAACAGGAAGCAGCUUGCUGCUUUGCUGACGAGUGGCGGACGGGUGAGUAAUGUCUGGGAAACUGCCUGAUGGAGGGGGAUAACUACUGGAAACGGUGGCUAAUACCGCAUAAUGUCGCAAGACCAAAGAGGGGGACCUUCGGGCCUCUUGCCAUCAGAUGUGCCCAGAUGGGAUUAGCUUGUUGGUGAGGUAACGGCUCACCAAGGCGACGAUCCCUAGCUGGUCUGAGAGGAUGACCAGCCACACUGGAA
rnacentral:rRNA from 1 species